UGUCUCUGGAUAAGUGAAAAUAGAUGGCAGCGAAGUUGAACUGGUUUUGCAAACACUAGCAAGUAUUUCUUCAUCGCUUCCAUCGUGCAAGUAAUGCUUUUACAUUCCCUCAAUAUGAUAUAUUCCUCUACUUCCUAAUCCAGUCGAAACAUAAUUUGAACUAUAUGAUUCUUUCUGUUCAUAUUAUCGAAUAGUGAGCUUCGGUAGUGGCUUCAGCAAAAAAAAAUUAGUGUGUACAUCACUUGACCAAACAUUAAGGCAGCGGCCCAUAUGUAGGUGCAGUCUCAAACAAAGAAAGAGAAAAGAUAGUCUUGGUGUUAGUUACCUACAUACUCAGAUUCCUACAUGAGCACGAUAGAAAAUUGAAUAUGUAGGUGCAGUCUCACACCAAGAAAGAGAAAAGAUAACUUGGUGUCAACUACUCAUGAAUGGAAAUAAAAACACUAGCUGGAAUGAUUUACUAUUUUUGCUAGCUUGACAAAAAAUACAUUAUUUCAUUCUUAGCUUACUAAAACUUGGGUGUGUUGUAUCUUGCUCAUACAUUUCAGUUGAUUCUGCGCAGGUUGCGCUAGCAUUGCGGGCAUUUUUCUUCAUAUUUGGGAAGAGGGGAUGAGGUUGAAAAAUGAAGCUGGUGAUGAAAAGAAUGGAGGGCACCCGCAAAGUGAUGACGAG
rnacentral:lncRNA from 1 species